rnacentral:rRNA from 1 species
GGGCCCGCACAAGCGGUGGAGCAUGUGGUUUAAUUCGAUGAUACGCGAGGAACCUUACCAGGGCUUAAAUGUAAGUUGCAUUAGUUAGAGAUAGCUAUUUCUUCGGACUACUUACAAGGUGCUGCAUGGUUGUCGUCAGCUCGUGCCGUGAGGUGUCAGGUUAAGUCCUAUAACGAGCGCAACCCCUGUUGUUAGUUGCCAUCGAGUCAUGUCGGGAACUCUAACAAGACUGCCGGUGCAAACCGUGAGGAAGGUGGGGAUGACGUCAAAUCAUCACGGCCCUUACGUCCUGGGCUACACACGUGCUACAAUGGCCGGUACAGAGAGCAGCCACUACGCGAGUAGGCGCGAAUCUUCAAAGCCGGUCUCAGUUCGGAUCGGAGUCUGCAACUCGACGGCAUGAAGUCGGAAUCGCUAGUAAUCG